CGGAGAGUGGCGUAGUGGUAGCGCGCCAGGCUGGGGGUCUGGCAGUCCGAGUCCGAUUCUCGGCUCUCCGA
rnacentral:tRNA from 1 species